UGGGGAAUAUUGCACAAUGGGCGCAAGCCUGAUGCAGCCAUGCCGCGUGUAUGAAGAAGGCCUUCGGGUUGUAAAGUACUUUCAGCGGGGAGGAAGGGAGUAAAGUUAAUACCUUUGCUCAUUGACGUUACCCGCAGAAGAAGCACCGGCUAACUCCGUGCCAGCAGCCGCGGUAAUACGGAGGGUGCAAGCGUUAAUCGGAAUUACUGGGCGUAAAGCGCACGCAGGCGGUUUGUUAAGUCAGAUGUGAAAUCCCCGGGCUCAACCUGGGAACUGCAUCUGAUACUGGCAAGCUUGAGUCUCGUAGAGGGGGGUAGAAUUCCAGGUGUAGCGGUGAAAUGCGUAGAGAUCUGGAGGAAUACCGGUGGCGAAGGCGGCCCCCCUGGACGAAGACUGACGCUCAGGUGCGAAAGCGUGGGGCAGCAAACAGGAUUAGAUACCCUGGUAGUCCAGCGCCGUA
rnacentral:rRNA from 1 species